rnacentral:rRNA from 1 species
AACGAACGCUGGCGGCAUGCCUAACACAUGCAAGUCGAACGAGACCUUCGGGUCUAGUGGCGCACGGGUGCGUAACGCGUGGGAAUCUACCCUUGGGUUCGGAAUAACUCAGAGAAAUUUGAGCUAAUACCGGAUGAUGUCGCAAGACCAAAGAUUUAUCGCCCAAGGAUGAGCCCGCGUAGGAUUAGCUUGUUGGUGAGGUAAAAGCUCACCAAGGCGACGAUCCUUAGCUGGUCUGAGAGGAUGAUCAGCCACACUGGUACUGAGACACGGACCAGACUCCUACGGGAGGCAGCAGUAAGGAAUAUUGGUCAAUGGAGGCAACUCUGAACCAGCCAUGCCGCGUGCAGGAUGACGGCCCUAUGGGUUGUAAACUGCUUUUAUACAAGAGAAAACCCUGGUACGUGUACCAGGUUGAUAGUAUUGUAAGAAUAAGCAUCGGCUAACUUCGUGCCAGCAGCCGCGGUAAU